AUGCUUGCAAAAGCAGUAGCGACAGAAUCAGGUGCAAAAUUUAUCAACAUAGAAAUGUCAAGAAUUAUGUCAAAGUGGCUUGGGGAUGGAGAGAAGUAUGUGAAGGCCAUUUUCUCUUUGGCAAGUAAAGCAUCUCCGUGUGUAAUAUUCAUUGAUGAGGUUGAAAGUAUGCUUGGAACCAGAGAAAGUCGGGUAGAGCAUGAAAUUAAGCGCAGGAUGAAAAAUGAAUUUAUGGUACAUUGGGAUGGAUUGCGUACCAAGGAUAAAGAACGUGUAUUGGUUCUCGGAGCCACAAAUAGGCCCUUUGAUCUUGAUGAGGCAGUCAUUCGAAGGUUCUCUCACAGAUUAAUGGUGAACCUUCCUGAUGCGUCAAGUAGAGAGAGGAUUUUGGAACAGAUACUGUUCAAAGAAGAGCUGGCACCAGACGUGGAUCUAAAGCUACUCGCCAAUACGACUGAUGGAUUUUCAGGAAGCGGCUUGAAAGAACUUUGUAUGACUGCAGCACUCCGGCGCAUUCCUGAACUCUUGGAAAGAGAAAAGGAGGAAGCGUGUUUAGCGAAAGAUGAAGGUAGGCCUGAGCCUGCAUUGCUAGGAAAUGAUGCCAUCCCCCCUCUUAGCAUGAAGCAUUUGACAUCUGCCCGUGAUCAGGGAGGUGCUAGCUUCUCAUCUGAGUCAAACACAAUGAGUGCCCUUAUUCAGUGGAACAAUCUGUAUGGUGAUGGCGGCUCAAAAAGGAAGAAAAAUCUCAGCUACUUUAUGUAG
rnacentral:rRNA from 1 species